GAUGAAGAACGUAGCGAAAUGCGAUAAGUAAUGCGAAUUGCAGAAUUCAGUGAAUCAUCGAAUCUUUGAACGCACAUUGCGCCCGCCAGUAUUCUGGCGGGCAUGCCUGUCUGAGCGUCGUUUCGACCCUCGCGCCCGGCUUCUGUCGGGGGCGGUGUUGGGGAUCGGCCACACCCUUCAGUGGGAGGCCGGCCCCUAAAUUCAGUGGCGACCACGCUGUAGCCUCCCCUGCGUAGUACUAAAACCACCUCGCAGGCGGAGAGCGGUGCGGCCCGCCGUAAAACCCCCCAACUUUUACAAGGUCGACCUCAGAUCAGGUAGGAAUACCCGCUGAACUUAAGCAUAUCAAUAAGCGAGGA
rnacentral:misc_RNA from 1 species